AUCCCUUAGGCGUGAUGAAGAGAGAAGAGAGAGAAUGGAUAAGAUCAAAUAAAUGGUUCAUCCUUAUCCAUUUAAUCUUCAAGUAUUCUCUCUCUUUCCUUCACCUAUUUUUCAUCACCAUACCUCCCAAUGAUAUCCAUCACGUCAUCAUGAUCUCCCAUCAUCCUAUGAUGAAAAUCCAAUGGGUCCAAUUCAUGGCGCCAUCCAUUUGAUCCAUCUCUUCAUCCAAAUGUUGAUCCAACGGUCAAAAAUGAAUGAUUUAUCAAAUCUAAUCCAAUUAGACUCAAACCAAGCCAAUUAGGUGCCAACUCUUGGCUAACCCAUAUUAGAAUAUGAUCUAAUCAAAUUAGAUCAAUUAAGAAUCAGAUUCGAAUCCAAUUCGAAUCAGAUUCGAAUCCAAUUCGAAUCAG
rnacentral:lncRNA from 1 species